GGAGAGGUGCCCGGAGCGGCUUAACGGGGACUUCGAGCUACGGCUCACAGUCGGGUCCAUCGGACCCACGCAGGUUCGAAUCCUGCCCUCUCCGCCA
rnacentral:tRNA from 1 species